UACAGAGGUCCCAAGCGUUGUUCGGAUUCACUGGGCGUAAAGGGUGCGUAGGUGGUGAGGUAAGUCGGAUGUGAAAGCUCGGAGCUCAACUCCGAAAUGGCAUUGGAAACUACCUUGCUCGAGGGUUGGAGGGGGGACUGGAAUACUUGGUGUAGCAGUGAAAUGCGUAGAUAUCAAGUGGAACACCAGUGGUGAAGGCGAGUCCCUGGACAACUCCUGACACUGAGGCACGAAAGCUAGGGGAGCAAACAGG
rnacentral:rRNA from 1 species